rnacentral:lncRNA from 1 species
UAUGCCAUCGAACUGGUUCUUCAAGUUCAGUAUAUUGAUCAACCAUUCGAGUGUAUGACACAUUGGUAUGCUCGUGUGACACACCUUUCGUAAACUUGGGAUACAGAUCCUUCUUAGCUAUCCAUACAUGUCCAUACCUUCUAGGUUCCACAUAACAAAGGUUCAUCCUCCAAGCUCGCUCAAUUUGGUGUCUUCGAGAAUAACAGAAAUCAACCUUAUGACCAUGAUUCCCACAAAACAAACAACCAUUCCUCCUAGUUAUUGCAGGCUUUGGAGAGUGUAAUUUUGUCUGAGCAUUAGGUUCUUUUUUCACAGGUGCAGAUGUAUGUCUUUUCUCAGCUUUUGAGCUACUUUCAGGGUGAGAUGGAGUACCUUUUACAAACUUGAUAACAUCGACUGGAAUAGCUUGA